rnacentral:rRNA from 1 species
CUGACGAGUGGCGGACGGGUGAGUAACGCGUAGGAAUCUGCCCAAAAGUGGGGGACAACGUGGGGAAACCCACGCUAAUACCGCAUAAGCCCCACGGGGUAAAGCAGGGGAUCUUCGGACCUUGCGCUUUUGGAUGAGCCUGCGUUGGAUUAGCUAGUUGGUGAGGUAAAGGCUCACCAAGGCGACGAUCCAUAGCUGUUCUGAGAGGAAGAUCAGCCACACUGGGACUGAGACACGGCCCAG